UGACAGCAGCGACAUUGGUGACUUUCAAGAAGAUUUGAAGGCAUGUAUGGCAAAUGCGGGCGUCAUCACAGCUACAAGUACAAUCCAAAGAAACAGAAAACACAUGAGCCCAAAAAAAAGCCCGGACCUUCAAGAAAGAUAUCUUCUAUUUAGCCUUACUUCCUCCCACCAGGGUCAGUGGUGCCCACAUUCCGGCAAUUCAACAAGACUGCUAUCCAAUUGCGCAUGGACUCAGGCUAUGGCUAUGCAUAUGGUGACCCUCCUGAUGGUGGUGAAGUUCGAGACAAGCCUGUGACGAUAUCCUUGCCCUAUGACAUCACCUCGGCGAAAUUCCAGGAUACAGUACAUCGCUGGUUUCCAAAACUUGAGGGCAGAAAAUUUGACCUGUACAAUGUACCAAGAGGGGGAGGUAGUGGCCGAAAAUUGUCGUUGGUUGUCCCAGCCCUUCCAAAGACCCUAAGGGAUGCAAAUUAGAAAGGAGUCACCUUCAUUAAAGAAUAGGAGACUGUCCACCAGUCAUCCCUGGAGGAAGCAGGUGAACUGUUACUUGAAGCUAUUGACCAGGAUGAAGCAGAUGAACAGUUAGCUGAAGCUACUCAUCAGGUGGUGGUUGGCUAAUGAGAACUGUAGCGAUUUUCCUCCUGGUUGACUCGGUGAUGUACCGGAUGCUUCUGAGAUAUAGCACCAUCCAUAGAGUGUCACACUUGAUCAUUGUCACAACCAUUACUGUGGUUUAUCACAACCUGGUUAAAGACUUGUCUUGACAAGUCUAAUAUAUGAAUAGGAUAACCAAAGUACUUUAUAGAUGAUCCCAACGUACGUUAUCCGAAGAGCGCCGCUACAAAGUCUGUGGGUAGGUAUA